AGUGAACGCUGGCGGUAGGCCUAGCACAUGCAAGUCGAACGGCAGCACAGUAAGAGCUUGCUCUUACGGGUGGCGAGUGGCGGACGGGUGAGGAAUACAUCGGAAUCUACUUUUUCGUGGGGGAUAACGUAGGGAAACUUACGCUAAUACCGCAUACGACCUACGGGUGAAAGCAGGGGAUCUUCGGACCUUGCGCGAUUGAAUGAGCCGAUGUCGGAUUAGCUAGUUGGCGGGGUAAAGGCCCACCAAGGCGACGAUCCGUAGCUGGUCUGAGAGGAUGAUCAGCCACACUGGAACUGAGACACGGUCCAGACUCCUACGGGAGGCAGCAGUGGGGAGUAUUGGACAAUGGGCGCAAGCCUGAUCCAGCCAUACCGCGUGGGUGAAGAAGGCCUUCGGGUUGUAAAGCCCUUUUGUUGGGAAAGAAAAGCAGCAGGUUAAUACCCCGCUGUUCUGACGGUACCCAAAGAAUAAGCACCGGCUAACUUCGUG
rnacentral:rRNA from 1 species